UUGAAAGGGAAACGAUUGAAGUCAGUCGUACCGACGAGAAAUCAGCUCUUUGAGUGUGGACUUGUGGGCGUGCGUGAGCUUUACGGUCUCGCUGUUUGCAAUGUUUGUACUUUUUGGGUGUACUUUUUCGUAUGGUAGGCCAACAUCAGUUUCGAAUACCAUAAAAUGACCGGCGGAAUGUAGCUUCGAUCUCGUAUUGAAGUGUUAUAGCCUCUGGUAGAUGUGGUGUUUGGGACUGAGGAUUGCAACGAAUAUCCUUUGGGCUAUCCGUCUGAUCUCUGAAAGUUGCUUAGGUGCCGAAAGCGUGCUUACGGUUAUUUAAGUUGACGGUCAAAAGGUUAGAACGUGAUUACAUUCGUUAAGGAUGUUGACGUA
rnacentral:rRNA from 1 species